rnacentral:ncRNA from 2 species
ACCUAGGGUAGAGGUGCUGUAAUUAAGAGUAUCUAUUAUGAGUUGGCUAAACUGUGAGUAAUAGAGAAAGGAAUUAUGGCCGAAGAGUAAAAAGUUAGCAAGGUUUUACUCUGGCUAUAUGUAUAAGAUAUGUAUGGCUGUCACUUAAGUAAGUGGAGAGCUACAGGGUCA